rnacentral:rRNA from 1 species
AGAUUGAACGCUGGCGGCAUGCCUAACACAUGCAAGUCGAACGGGAGUAGCAAUACUCUAGUGGCGGACGGGUGAGGAAUACGUAGGAAUUUGCCCUUAAGUGGGGGAUAACCCGGGGAAGCCCGGAUUAAUACCGCAUGACCUCGAAAGAGCAAAGUGGGGGAUCGCAAGACCUCACGCUUUUGGAGAAGCCUACGUCGGAUUAGCUAGUUGGUGAGGUAAUGGCUCACCAAGGCGACGAUCCGUAACUGGUCUGAGAGGAUGAUCAGUCACACCGGAACUGAGACACGGUCCGGACUCCGUACGGGAGCAGCAGUGGGGAAUAGUGGACAAUGGGCGCAAGCCUAGAUCCAGCAAUGCCGCGUGUGUGAAGAAGGCCUUCGGUUAGUAAAGCUACUUUAAGUUAGGGAAGAAAAAACGUCGACUACUAACAC